rnacentral:tRNA from 1 species
GGCGGGGUAGCUCAGAUGGUUAGAGCACGACGGGUCUCCACUCACUUGCCCGGCGACGGGCCGAUCGGCCGACCCUUAUCACUUCGGAUGACGUGGUCGUGGGUUCGAAUCCCACCCCCGCCG